UACAGAGGGUGCGAGCGUUAAUCGGAAUUACUGGGCGUAAAGGGCGCGUAGGCGGUUAUAUAAGUUAGAUGUGAAAUCCCUGGGCUUAACCUAGGAACUGCAUCUAAUACUGUAUGACUGGAGUGCAGUAGAGGAUAGUGGAAUUUCCGGUGUAGCGGUGAAAUGCGUAGAUAUCGGAAGGAACACCAGUGGCGAAGGCGACACACUGGCCCGAUACUGACGCUGAGGCGCGAAAGCGUGGGGAGCAAACAGG
rnacentral:rRNA from 1 species